CUUCUUAUGAAGCUACUGUCAGGAUUCAUCGUCGAGAUCGAUAUUCCCAUUUUGUCUACGGUUACCGCCAGAAUAACCUUUCAUGAAUUUGCAUUUGGAAAUGACAAAUUUGAAACUCUUACAAGUGCUCUUGGGUUACUUUAAAGAUUCAAUCAGCCUCCGAUGAGAAGAGUUUCCACAAAUCCUUCCCUUGAUACUCAGAUAUCAGGAAGUAUGUCUGGAAGCUCAGGCAGGAGAAAGUCCAUUCUUAGGUCAAAAUCUUGUAUACAAGGAAAGUAGUGAAUCUAUCAAAGCGACAGUAGCGAUGUAUAUGGAUUUUUCAUUGACCGUGGACAUGCUUCUAAAUGUUUUGGAAGUGACCGCACUGUUCAAACACUUCAGUAAACUUAGACAUCUUAUGAAGCUACUGCCAGGAUUCACCGUCGAGAUCGAUAUUCCUAUUUUGUCUACCACCAGAAUAACCUUUCAAGAAUUUGCAUUUGGAAAUGACAAAUUCGAAACUCUUGGAUUACCUUAAAGAUUCAAUCAUUUUUGGAGACUGGGAGUUGCCAGGUGAGGGAGAGCAAGAAACACCGAUUCAAAAAUCUGAGACUUUUUGCAGUUUGAGCUGAAAGAUCGUUUCGAAGAAAUUAAUAGACUCAAAGAAAAAGCGAACGAUGAGGCAGAACAAAAAAGUAUGGCAGAAAUUCUGUCCCAGGUCGAGAUAAUGGGGAAAAAAUUGAAUUUCCUGAAAUUGCAAGAAACCUUAGCAGCAAUCUGGUCGCGACUUUCGCUGAUCCUCAAGGUGCCAGCUUAAAACAAUUGACGUUGCAGAUUCAGCUAUUCAAACAAACGGGUUCGACUAAAGUUGGAGAGGAAAAAACGGCAUUUACUGAAGUGGAUAAAAUUCGCAAACGAAGUCUGGAGUAUUAAAAACGCAUAACUUGGAAAAUUGUCUCAAACUAUGAAGACCCAGGAAAUCGUCGAGGUGGUUCAGCAAUUGAGCGCAAAAUCGGCUUUACUCAACAGCAUUCAGAUCAUAGCAAUGGCGAGUAGCCUCUCGAUGCUUCUUCAUCGAAUGAACAAAUUAGCACAGAAAAAAUCGGCCGCUCAACAGGACACAGAAAGAGAACGAAAAAUUGAGAUGUACGAAAUCAUGAAAAAAAAACGAAGCUUCCUCGAUCAUUGUACCUCAAACGGUCAAUCGCAUGUUGGCUCUUAGCUCUUUCCAUCAGCAAGAGCUCCUACUACAAACCGACAUAACCAAUGGACUGGACAGCAACAAAGACUUGCUUAAAGGAAUUUAAGAAAGUUUUGCCUCGAAUUUGGAAUCAAUACGCAACAAUAUAGCAUAUUUGGAUAAGAGAAUAAAACAAUUGAACAAACGAUCAUUUGCACUAAUACUUUUGAGUUAGAGUAAUUUAAGAAACGCAUUUUGAUUUGUCAUUAAUAAAACAAAAAUUGUCGGCUUAUUAUUUAUGAUGCUUUUUUUAUGUUGAGGUGUUAAUAAAUAUUGAUGAAAACUUAAAAUAAAUGGUAGUCACGUCGUCGUUUUUUUUUAAAUGUUUAUUUUUUGUCGCCUAGAAACGGAGUUUCUAGAAGAGCCAUUUGUUCUUGCUAGAU